rfam:Massilia consociata strain BSC265 scf7180000011479, whole genome shotgun sequence.
GCAACCUGAAGUUCUCGAGCCAGAAUCGCACCGUGUUCCUGUCGAUGCUGGGCAAUUCCUGGUUCUGGUUCUACGGCGCGCUGGUGCUGUCGCAGUUCCCGCUGUACGCCAAGGAUUACCUG